rnacentral:lncRNA from 1 species
AGGCUCUUACGUAUUUCCCUUAGUAAGAGUGACGCUACAGAUAUGGAAUCCUCAGUUUUGGCUGUGCAACAAGGGAAUCAAGGACAAUGAGAAAAUCGCAAAGGUAAUGGGAAGAAAUUUCAUUGUUCCUAUUGUGAUAAGAAAGGUCACACACGGGAUGCAUGUUGGCAUUGUAUGGCCAACCACCACGGCCCAAUCAACCCGAUAAUACUAGCAAGUCAGCAGCUUAUCUUGCCCAAUCUAAUGAAAAAGGCCUGCUUCCACAACCUACCAAUAAAUCUCAGGAACUAAAUUCAAUCAUUUUAACGAGAAAAGACUAUAAAGAAUAUUUGCAGUUCCAAACAGCUAAGCAACAUCCUCUAUCUUCCAGCAUUGCUCACUCAUGUAAUUCCUUUGCUUGUCUAACUAAGUGUUCACCUAAUUGGUCCAUGAAUCCUAGACUCUGGUGCUUCUGAUCAUAGCUUUGGUAAUCACAAUCUUUUCUCUACUCUUGUUUCACCUUCCACACCAUUUAAAGUCACCUUGGCUAAUGAUUCACAAACUCAAGUUAAAGGAAUAGGAAAAGUACAAUUUCUUCCUUCUAUUUCCUUAACUACUAUCUUGUUCUCUCCUGAAUGUCCAUAUAUAUUAAUCUCCAUUAGCAAAUUGACCAAAAAUCUUAAUUAUUCAGUAACCUUUACUACUGAUUCUAUUGUGGUGCAGGACAGAGUACUGAGAGAAUAUUUAGAACAGGAUCUGAGUCACAAAGAUUGUACCACCUCUCCAGUUGCUUUUGUUUCUACCACUUCCGCUGAGCUUAUUCAUAACCAUUUGGGACAUCCUAGUCUUCUCAAAUUGCAGAAAAUUGUCCCUAGUCUUUCUUCUUUGUCUUCUUUAGCAUGUGAGUCAUGUCAACUUGGAAAAUAAACUCGGGCUUCAUUUUCUAAGCGAGUCAAUAACAGGGCCA